AUGCUUUCUCCAUCACCCUGCACUGCAAGGGCCAAGCUCAAGCACUCACCGCAGCCAAAACGGCGGGGAACGAUGGAGGACGGCGGGGAACGACAGCGGCGAGCAGCGGGGGACGACGGGGGACGGCGGCGAGCAGCGGGGGACGACGGGGGACAGAGGGGAACGGCGGGGGAUGGCGGGGACAACGGGGGACAGCGACGAGCGGCGGGGAACGGCGGAGGACGGCAGGGGAUGGCGGGGGACGGCGGGGAGCGACAGAGAGCGGCGGGCGACGGCGGGGAACGAUGGAGAGCGACGGGGAACGACGGGGAACGGCGGCGAGCAACGGGGAACGGCGGGGAGCGGCGGAGGACGGCGGGGAGUGGCGGAGGACGGCGGGGGACGACGGGGGACAACGGGAGACGGCGGCGAGCGACGGGGAACGGUGUGGAACGGCGGCGAGCGGCAGCAAGCGGCGGAGGACGGCGGGGAACGACGGGGGACGGCGGUGAGUGGAGGCGAGCGGUAGCAGCGGGGAAACAGCGGGGGACGGCGGGGGACAACGGGGGACAACGGGAGACGGCGGGGAGCGACGGAGGAUGGCGGGGGACGACAGGGGACGGCGGCGAGCGGCGGGGAACGAUGGGGGACGACGGGGAACGGCGGCGAGUGGCCGCGAGCGGCGGCAGCCGGGAAAUGGCGGGGAAGGACGGCCCCUUAGCACAGCCUCUUAGCAUUAAAAAAAAUGAUAAAACCAAUAAACGUAUGUUAUUCUGCCAUCACAUGUUUACGCCUUUCCUUUUGAACUUCUCCGAAUUAUUCAAGAUGUUGUUUACAAUUCAUUCUGUCUUAGCUGAAAAAGAAACCCAUACGUAUUUCUAUAGGACUUUAGUUUGUAUAUUGUAAUGCUAUGAUGUGAUGGAAAGUCCAGUGCUAAUAGCAGGGUGGCAAAGUCUUUGCCUGUAGGAAAUGAGGCAAACCCAAAUGCAGCAGCCUUGAAUGCAGAAACAAAGGAAAAAAAGCGGAUUACCUUUGGAAGGCCACAGGUAAGCCAGGAUCUCCAGCAAGAUUCCCUCACCUCCACUGCCAGCCCUUCAAGGAGGUCUGGGAAGGGGUGCCUCCUGGCCCCACCCCUUCCAGUCACUCAGGUGCACUGCAUGCACCUGAGCUCCCCUGGGUUGGCCCUGCCUUCCCACCAGGUGCUCAAUCACUCUUUCAGGCUGUGACAGCGUUUCCUCUACACAUAAGUUGAGUUACUCCUCUGUGAUAGUAUUGGCCUUUCUUAUACACCAGAUUUCUGGUUAGUUUUUCCCGUAUAAGGUAGCUUGAACACUACAUCCAGACAUAAGCAAUCGAUUUUGCAUUGAGAUUUAUUGCACAUCUCCUCAUACGUCCCUCUGCUAUGUGGUCGUCAACGGUUUACGGGCGUUCAGCUUGGUUCCGUGAGGAAUGGGACGGGGGACCCACGGGCCACGCCCGGGAAAAGGGAAAAGGGGAAAAGGGGAAGGAGAUAGCCCUGAGAGCAAAGAACAGUGGCAACAAUCCGAGGAGAAACAAACUAAUUUACUAAAUAAGGUAUUGGAAUGCAAAACAACACGCUAUAAUACAAUAUAAUUACGAUUUAAGCUGAUAAAUCCAAUACGGAGAGAGAGAAUGUCCCAAAAUCAAGGUAGGCCUUACUCUACUACCGACGAUAAGAUGGCUGGAGAGCGAGGUGCUGCCAAGAUGAGGGACGGGCGGAAAAAAGGGACGAGGUCUCGUGAUCCACAAGUUUUUAUCUUUUCCCUCUGGCCGGAAAUGGUAACAGAGGAGCAAAGUACCUCGGGGAAUGUAGUAGUCCUUCUCUUCCGAGAACCAGGUACAUUCACUACAUGAUGUUAUGAUGUGGAGUAACAAUAACCGAAAA
ensembl:lncRNA